UGGGGAAUUUUGGACAAUGGGCGCAAGCCUGAUCCAGCCAUGCCGCGUGCGGGAAGAAGGCCUUCGGGUUGUAAGCCGCUUUUGUCAGGGAAGAAAUCUUCUGAGUUAAUACCUCGGGAGGAUGACGGUGCCUGAAGAAUAAGCACCGGCUAACUACGUGCCAGCAGCCGCGGUAAUACGUAGGGUGCAAGCGUUAAUCGGAAUUACUGGGCGUAAAGCGUGCGCAGGCGGUUUUGUAAGACAGAGGUGAAAUCCCCGGGCUCAACCUGGGAACUGCCUUUGUGACUGCAAGGCUUGAGUGCGGCAGAGGGGGAUGGAAUUCCGCGUGUAGCAGUGAAAUGCGUAGAUAUGCGGAGGAACACCGAUGGCGAAGGCAAUCCCCUGGGCCUGCACUGACGCUCAUGCACGAAAGCGUGGGGAGCAAACAGGAUUAGAUACCCUGGUAGUCCACGCCCUAAACGAUGUCAACUGGUUGUUGGGAAGGUUCCUUCUCAGUAACGUAGCUAACGCGUGAAGUUGACCGCCUGGGGAGUACGGCCGCAAGGUUGAAACUUAAAUGAAUUGACGGGGU
rnacentral:rRNA from 1 species